GGCUCAGAACGAACGCUGGCGGCGUGCUUAACACAUGCAAGUCGAACGAACCUUCGGGUUAGUGGCGGACGGGUGAGUAACGCGUGAGAAUCUGCCCUCAGGAGGGGGAUAACGGUUGGAAACGACCGCUAAUACCCCAUAUGCCGAGAGGUGAAAAGAAAUUCGCCUGAGGAUGAGCUCGCGUCUGAUUAGCUAGUUGGUGUGGUAAUGGCGCAGCAAGGCUUCGAUCAGUAGCUGGUCUGAGAGGAUGAUCAGCCACACUGGGACUGAGACACGGACCAGACUCCUACGGGA
rnacentral:rRNA from 1 species